GGAAUAUUGCGCAAUGGGCGAAAGCCUGACGCAGCAACGCCGCGUGGGUGAUGAAGGCCUUCGGGUUGUAAAGCCCUGUCAGCAGGGAAGAACGAGUGAUAGUUAAAUAAGCUAUCACUGUGACGGUACCUGCGGAGGAAGCACCGGCUAACUCCGUGCCAGCAGCCGCGGUAAAACGGAGGGUGCAAGCGUUGUUCGGAAUUACUGGGCGUAAAGCGCGUGCAGGUGGUCUUUUAAGUUUCGCGUGAAAUCCCAUGGCUUAACCAUGGAACGGCGCGGAAGACUGAAGGACUUGAGUACGGGAGAAGAGGGCGGAAUUCCCAGUGUAGAGGUGAAAUUCGUAGAUAUUGGGAGGAACACCUGUGACGAAAGUGGCUCUCUAGACCGAUACUGACACUCAUACGCGACAGCGUGGGUAGCAAAC
rnacentral:rRNA from 1 species